UAAGAUUAGACCGAUCAAAAUCAAUCAACAAAUAGCUAGGACAAGGACACGUCUUUUCUCUCUGAAAAAACACCCACAAGUAUCGAACCCCCCUUUCCCAAAGCAGUGUUCCAUCACUUUCAGAUUAUUUUAAAAGACAACAGCAAUAAUCACUAUAGCUGACCAUCUGCCUGCAGCUAGCCUGCUGAGAUCCCCCCUCCCCAUUUCAUCACUUUUCAAUCCGUGAAACUCCAGAAAAGGCAGUCCUGAAUCCGUAUAACAAUGGAAAAAGGAUUCAAAUCCGCCAUCAAUGGCAUGAAAAGGCUGAAGAUUCUGAAAGGAUUUGUCUAUGGGGACUCAAAUUUCAAAUUGUGAAUCAUUAUUUCACACGUUUUGUUAAUUUUUGGUUUCAAAUCCAGACUUUCAAGUCUAAAUUCGCACCUAUAAAUAUGGUGUUGUCAUCCCAUCGAAAAGGCAUAUAAAAAAAUGGUAAAAAAUGUCAAGAUAUUGGAGUAAAAACAAGGUAAAAAUUUGAGAAAAGAGUGAGAGUUUGAAAGGGUCCAGAGGUCACAGUGUGGGAACACAGAGAAAAACAGCAGUGAAAGAAGAUGUCAAAAAAAUAGUUUUGAGUGUCGGGAAAUCGAGAAGUGAAAACCAAAAAAAUCAAGUUGCUGAAAUUCACUGUUUUGUCCUUCUUUCUCCAUUUUUUGUAUUUUGGGUAAAAUUUUGAGUCUCCGGAGUUGAGCUUGGUGGCCAAAAUUCUCGACCUAAAACUCCUAUUUUGCUGCCUCAAAAAAGGAAAUUAGGUUUUGGAGCUGGACAAGAGAAAAGAAGUGAAAAUUGAAGACUUGGACCACCUAAAUGGGCACCUACGGCCUGUAGGUACUACCUACGUGAUGUAGCUACCAAAAUAGGUGUCAUGAUUUUGAGUUUCAGAUAUUUAAGGAACGCAAAUUCGACCCUGCUACCUACGGAGGGGCACCUACGUUCCGUAGGUACCACUUAUGGCUCGUAGGUGCCAGUACAAGUCUCAAAAAAUCGAAGUUCAGAGAGUUUUUUCAGUAUUUUUGGAGUCUGGAACUUACAGCGGGACACCUAUAGCUCGUAGGUGCCACCUACGGCCCCCAUAAGUGGCCUUGUUGGUGGUCACCGACUCUGAUUUUCCUCUUUUGUUUAGGAUUGGUUUCCUAGGAUUUUCUUGUAUUCUAUAAAUAUUCUUUUGAUGAUUUUUAGUUAACUUAUGCACUCUUAUUACUUACACACAUAUAUUUGAUUUUGAUUUUCGGGUUG